UAUUAAAUGGAGUAGAAUUUCCGUAAUGAAGAUGUUUUACAUUUUAAAUAUCUUCAUCACAUCUUAUUGAGUAACUAUUGGUAUGCACAUCUUAAUUACAACAAACCAUAAAGGACUGAUUGUUUUUUAUCCACGUAAAUUAUUUUAUGGGCCUCUGGGUUUCUGUCUUGGAUACCGAAAGAACCUCUCCCAAAAUGUAUGCAAAAUAUACAGUUUGGAGAUAAUGACAGGUGUGUGUAUAUGUUUUCUUUUUUUUCACAAUUCCCUUACUUCUUUGCAGCCUUCCACCCAUUGUUUCAAUGGAAUUUAUUACUUUAGGAGAAGGCUAAAAUAGCUGAUCCCAAAAAGUCAAUUGAGUUUCUGAACUUAUUUAUUAAAGUUCUCAAAGAGAGAAUACUUUUUGAAAGCUGAGACUUUUAGUAUAAAAGCCUGAGCUGGAAAGCUUAAGAUUUUGGAAGUUUCAAUGCCCAGAGUUUAUACCAAACCACAUGAGUAUUUUGCUGCCCAAAAGAGAUCUGGUUUGAGCAGCAGGUACCCAGGGGGAAAAACAGAAGUUAGAGGCUAAUGAGGAGCUGAAGCAAGUUUUUAGUGCUCUGCUUCCCUCCUACAGAACCUUUGGGGAACCUGAGGAUAGGAUGGGAUAGGAUAGGAUAGGGUAGGAUAGGAUAGGAUAGGAUAGAUUUGGGGCCCUGUACCUUGAUUCCUGAUAAAGGGCAAGAGAAGGAAAGCAAUUCUUGUAGGUAAGUCCAUUCCAGCAUGGUUUUGCAGUAGCAAAGUAUAAAAGAUGACGGGAAGGUCUAGGCAGAGAAAGUCUUAAGUAGCACCCCAAAAAGCCUGCAGCCCCUAGAGAUGCCAGAUUCAAAAAUCCCCAUUCCCCUGAGAUGAGUGUGGCCAUUUACAUUUACCAUUUUUUAACACACAAAAUUUGUAAUGGCUACAAGUGAGUCAUUGCAGUCUGAUUUUCCUUUCUCAUGUCUAGAUGUCAAAUAACCCAAAGUCUCUGGAGUCAUCUGUGUGACCUUCAAAGACCCAUCAACCUGAGAACAGAGCAGUAGGAUGCAGGUUUUAAACUUCUUCAAAGUAAGAGGAAGAAAAGAAGAUGAAGCAGCUGAGUCCAAUGUAGUGAGCAUCCUGAGCCAGUGCAAUACUAGGUUGUCUUCAAAUAUUAAUUAUGUAUAUUUGAAACUUAAAACCAUCAUAGAAGUUUCACUUAAAAUAGUGGAUAACAAACAUAGGUAAGAAUGGUAAGAAUGAAGAGCAUGGGGGAACAUUACUGACAAGGGUCAAGGGAAAUGGUCUUAUUGGUCUCAACAUUUAUUUUGAUUUUGAGUCCAUCUAUUUUUCAGAAUUCCAUUAGAAAGCAUUCCAUAUUGCUACAAAGUGUCACCAAGUGACCCUCAUACUGAUACUGGUCACAAUCUAGAAAGCCUUCAGAGGAUUUGCUAUGCUAAAAAAAAAAAAAAAAAAAAGGCUUGAGAAAGGUAUUGUUAAUUCAGUAUCUCUAGGUUUCAGGGUGAUUUAAAAAAAAAACUCAUAGGAUCAGGGUCAUCUCUAUGUUGUACGGGGCUCUAGAAAUAUAUUUUUUGUGCAGGGCCCUGUUCAUAGAAACACUUUGAUUAAAAAACAUAAAGUCAAUGGACCCCUGUGAGGUAUAAUCAUUUAUCAGUGAAGAUUUAGAAUAAUGGAUGGACAAGUGUUACUUCUGUGUUUGUUAUGUGUCCAGUCAGCACCUGUGAAGGUCCUCAUGCUCUCUGGGCACUAGCUCUUCCUGUUUAGGUCCAGGGACCUUCUCUCUCUUCUCCUUUUUGUCAGAUGCACCAUUCCUGGCUAACUUCAUAUCUCCCACUGUGGGAAAAAGGUAAGAAAUACAUUAUUAGUCCCCACAGUCUUUGGAGCCUGUUGGUAUUAAAGCAGUACGGACUGAUUUUACCUCUUUAGCUCUCCCACAGUCCUCUGUUCAGUGCUGGUCAGGUCGGUACUCAUGACACCUUAUCCUCUUUGCGCUGCCCGUGAAUAUGGGCCUCCAGUGACUCAUAAGCAUCAUUAACCAAGCUUCUUUGCCGAUGACCGCAAGGAGCCCUUUCUAUGCAUUGUGUUGUCCGAGCUUCACAACAGGGCUCUGUGGUAUCCAGGAGCCUGCACUGUAUGGGCAGUCUCAGUGGACAACCUUACCCUCACUUUGGAGGGCAGUUGGUCAGUGAGGUGGCUCUGUCCCUGCUGAGUCACUCUAAGUUCACUGUGUCCCUCUACAAAAGUCUACAGUUUUCAUCAAUCACCUUUUCCUUAUAGCAGCCCUCUGGUUCCAAUCCAGUGCCCACCCUUCUCCACCCAGAUGAGUGCCCUGGAAGGCUGACCUGUGGACUGAUCACUGGGCUUCCAGUUGAAAUUGGCCAGUUGGACGCACCAGCAGAUCUGGCAAUCAGAUAAGAGUGAAAUUGGGGUAUUUAUUCUGCUCUCUUCCUGUGAGGACAAUGUGGACUGUCUGGAUCCUAAUACUGUCAUGACUGCAGGAAGCCCUAGGAGUCAUCCUUGACUCCUCUCGUUCCCUCACAUUCUCCAUCUAAUGUAUCGGCUUCCAGGAUCUAUGUAGAAAGUACAUUGCUGUGUGUUUGUAGCUCCGCCCAUCAUUUGAGGGUGAUAAAACCAAGAACUAGUGAUUUUAAGGAACUUGCCAAAUAUUGGAAUCAGUAAGAGGUAAACCUGGGGUCUGAACUCAGACAGCAUAGUUCCAGAACCUACUUUCCUAACUGCUACAAGGAAGGAAUUGCCAACAUUAAAAAAAAAAAAAAAGUCAAGCGAUUUCACGGAAUCAUGGGAUUCAUGCCCUCUCUUGAACAGUUGUAACAUAUGAAAUGAAAAGGAAGACUGGACCAAGUAUUAAGUCACAAUUUAAGCUUCAAAGUCGCUGCCAGUGGCUACCGAUCCAAGGCCAGGGCUCCAAAAGAAAUGAGUCCUUGCCUCCUGGGCUCCCAUCUCUGACACCUCCAGCUGAGACGUUUCUGGCCGGAGCAUGGUCCUGGCAAGGUACAGAGAAGCAGGUGAUUCCGGGCCAUGCAUGAGCCCUCUUGUACUUGGGAGAAGUCUGUUCACAGUUCCUGAGGGCACUGUUGCAGGACCUCCCUGGUAUAUUUUUUGAGAUGUCAGCUUUUUUGAGAUGUCAGCUUGAAUGACUGCAUCAUCCAGAUAGAAAUCAGUUCUGAUUCUAAAUAAAUAAUAGGCCAAGCUAAAAAAAAAAAAC